rnacentral:lncRNA from 1 species
GUUUGUACAUGUAAAGAAUUGACCAGUGAAGCCAUCCUAUUUGUUUCUGGGGAACAAUGAUGGGGUGGGAGAGGGGAGAGAAGGAGAGUUUGGAAAAGGAGAAGAAGUCACGGACAUUGCGACAGUACCCACUGCAGACUCAGCCGACCAAGGCCUCCGAUUUUCACAGCUCUGCCUGGAAGAGCAGCCUCCAGGCACCGUGCUGAGGGAAGAUGAGAACCCGGGGCAGUGGAAGUUCAGGGUGAAUGAUGGGCAGAGUCCUGAGGGGCCGUGGCUGCACGGCCCACAGGAUAAGAGCCCAGCCAGAGCAGUGCAAGGCAGACAUGCCGCUCUGCCUAGCAGCAGGAGGAAUGAGGUGCGUGUGUGUGUGUGUGUGUGUGUGUUAACCGUCAUCUUUUGAUCAUCAUGACCAAUGAAACAUUUACUACAAGUCUCCAGUUCUUUAUUUCCUGAAUUUGUUUUUUUGGGUGACUGGUAGAAUGUUCUAGAAAUUUAUCCGCCUCCCAUCUGAUAGCAGGUGUCUCUUAAUUUUGCCAUCCGUGUAUCUGAGGUGCUGGGAGAGGUUGGUUAAAUUAUGCUGGCCUUUGGCAUAAUUGAAAGGUUUGCUUUUCCCUUCUUUUAAACCCUCUCUGUGGGUUGUUCCUUACUGGAUUGAGUGUAAUGAAUUGAUAAGAAAAGAAACCCAAUCUUCCUUUCUAUGGACUGACAUUCUAAUAUGGUCCCCAGGAUUCAAUGUAAGAAAGAAGUUGCCUUAAUCUGUUAGGCUGCUUUAACAAAAUACCUUAGUCUGGGUCCUUUAUAAAGGAAAGAGAUUUAUUGCUCACACUUCUGGAGUCUGGGAGGUCCAAGAUCAUCUGGUCAAAGCUGCUCUCCGCUCAGUCCUCAUAUGGCAAAAGGGUAAAAUGAGGGUGAAGCCCUCAUGAGCUCAUCACCUCCUGAAGGUCCUACCUCUUAAUACUAUUGCAUGGGGGGUAGGUUUCGACAUAGGAAUUUGGGGGAAACCUCAACAGUCAGACCCUGGCAGAAGUCCUUCUCACCCUGGGAGCUUUGGGAUUCUCAGUGAAUCACAAAAUGUGAGCAAGAAAAUAAAGUGUUUGCUAGUGGAAGGCAGAAGGAGCCAUUCAGUACCAGCAGUCAUGUUCUCCAGGACCAGCACCAAGGCUGGAAACAGAAGCCCCUCUCAUUCCUCCCCUGCAAACAGGAGCAGGAGGGCAGUCUGCCUGACCCCGGGCCCAGGGCAUCGCUACACCCUGCCCUGCACACUGUGGA